UACCUACGGGGGGCAGCAGUAGGGAAUCUUCGGCAAUGGGGGCAACCCUGACCGAGCAACGCCGCGUGAGUGAAGAAGGUUUUCGGAUCGUAAAGCUCUGUUGUAGGAGAAGAACGUGUGUGAGAGUGGAAAGUUCACACAGUGACGGUAACUUACCAGAAAGGGACGGCUAACUACGCGCCAGCAGCCGCGGUAAUACGUAGGUCCCGAGCGUUAUCCGGAUUUAUUGGGCGUAAAGCGAGCGCAGGCGGUUGGGUCAGUCUUGAGUUUAAGGCUGUGGCUUUACC
rnacentral:rRNA from 1 species